AUAAAGCAUCAUAAGGCGCCUGUGCCUGAUGUUUUCGCAGCUGAGUUUUAUCAACAUUUUUGGGAAGUAACUGGUGUUGGUUUACUUAAAUUGUUUAAUUAUUUUUAUCAUGGUAAACUAGAUUUAGUUAGAUUUAACUAUGGAGUGCUCAGUCUGCUUCCCAAAUAUGUGGGGGCCGAAACACUACAAUAGUAUAGACCUAUAUGCCUAUCUAAUGUGAUUUUUAAAUUUACUAAGGUAAUUAAUAAUAGGGCAAGUAUAGUAGCUGACAAAAUUAUAACUCCUGUGCAAACAACAUUUAUUAAAGGUAGAUAUAUAUUAGAUGGAUUGGUGGUGUUACACGAAGUCAUGCAUGAAGUACAUAAGAAAAAGAUGGAUGUUUUUUAA
rnacentral:rRNA from 1 species